GUACUAAGGUAGCAUAAUAACUAGCCUUUUAAUUAAAGGAUGGAAUGAAAGAACCAACGAGCUAAAACUCAUCCUUUAUAGUAACAAAAAAAUUAUCAAUAAGGUAAAAAGACCUUAAUACAACAGGAAGACGACAAGACCCUGAUGAACUUUAACAGUAUGUUCGGCUGGGGCAGUCAUAAAACAAAAUCUUACUAACAACCACUAUAAUUAAGAAAAAUACUAGUCCAAAACAAGUUACCACAGGGAUAACAGCACUAUUCCCUUCAAGAGCACUAAUCCAAAAAGGAGAUUAUGACCUCGAUGUUGAAUUACCUAUAAUAUAUGGGCAACCCCAUACCAAAAUGGUCUGUUCGACCAAAAACAGGUACAUGAU
rnacentral:rRNA from 1 species